rnacentral:rRNA from 1 species
CCUACGGGCGGCAGCAGUCGAGAAUCAUUCACAAUGGGGGAAACCCUGAUGGUGCGACGCCGCGUGGGGGAAUGAAGGUCUUCGGAUUGUAAACCUCUGUCAUGUGGGAGCAAAUUAAAAAGAUAGUACCACAAGAGGAAGAGACGGCUAACUCGGUGCCAGCGGCCGCGGUAACACAGAGGUCUCAAGCGUUGUUCGGAAUCACUGGGGGUAAAGCUUGUGUAGGCUGUUUCGUAAGUCGUGUGUGAAAGGCGCGGGCUCAACCCGCGGACGGCACAUGAUACUGCGAGACUAGAGUAAUGGAGGGGGAACCGGAAUGCUCGGUGUAGCAGUGAAAUGCGUAGAUAGCGAGAGGAACACUCGUGGCGAAGGCGGGUUCCUGGACAUUAACUGACGCUGAGGCACGAAGGCCAGGGGAGCGAAAGGGAUUAGAUACCCUAGUAGUC